rnacentral:ncRNA from 1 species
CACCGCCCGUCACACUAUGGGAGUUUUCCAUGCCCCAAUUCAUUACAUUAACCGCAAGGAGAGGGGUGUCAAAGGGUGGGCUAGUGACUAGAGUGAAUUCAUAACAAGGUAGCCAUACUGGAAGGUGCGGCUA